CUGACCAUGGAGUUGAUUUUCAGAAAUAUUGAAGGACGAAAGAAAUGGCAGAUCUGCCAAUCUAUUUGGAAUCGUCCCAGACAACCUGUUUGAAGAUAGGUCCAACCAUUCAAGAUUUGUCAAAUUCCCUAUUGAAGUGGGGAUACCACCAUUAAGGUUAUUGUGAGAAAGGUUGAGCCCUUUCAGUAAGUUAAGCUUCCCAAUAACCUUUGGAAUCUCUCCUUCAAACUGAUUGUUUGAUAGAUCAAUGAUCAUCCACAUGGUGAAAAUUUUCACCAAUUCCAUAUAUUUUCCUUUCAUAAUAAUUCCAAUAGAAUAGGCAUAGAAGCCGCUAGUAUAAUCUCCCACACCCAUGUAUGGCCUUGCACUACCUUUUUUCUUGAGAUUUAUGAUAGCCUUGAAGCUGUUGAUGUAUCUCACUGGUAGGGGUCCAGAAAAAUAGUUACUUGAGAGGUCAAAAUUUUGGAUUUUAGAGAAGAAAGGGCUAGACUUGGGGCUAUUGACACGCAAAGAACCAUGCAUAUGAUUAGACUUCAAUACAAGAACUUGCAAAUAUGGAAGACUUCCCAACCAAUGAGGAAAUGUAUCAUUGAUCUUGUUGUUACCAAGAUCUAGCACUUCCAGACCUCUACAAUUAAGGAUGGAUGGUGUCAAUGGCCCUUCUAACAAAUUUCCAUUUAAGUUGAAAUUACUCAAUUGGCAUCCCUCUGCAAAUGUUGGAGGAAUCGUCCCAUAAAACUUGUUCUUCUUCAGAUUUAAGAAUUCAAGGCUGUUGCUCAAAUUUCCAAAACAUUGCGGAAUUGUUCCACUCAAGUUAUUGUGGGACAAAUCAAGAAUAAGAAGAGAAGUGACAUUGCAGAUUAAAGAAGAGACCUCUCCAUUGAAACUAUUAUUUGAGAUCAGAAAGACAUUGAUGGUCGAAGCUGGAAUCGGAAGAUUUCCACGGAUCAAAUUGGAGCUUAAGUCAAGAACUUCAAUAUUCUUCCAUGGAAAGUGCUCAACUUCUGUCAAAGAGUUGUGAGAUACGUUUAAGUAAGCCAAAGAGCCUUUCCCCACCUCUUGCAUCCACUGUGGAAUCUUGCCUUCAAUUUUGUUGCAAGAGAGGUCUAAGCGUUUCAAACUUUUAAGCCCUUCCAAAAAUUGGGGGAAUUCACUAAGAUUGCAAGAUGACAAACGUAAGUCCAUAAGAUUAGGCAAUAUAUGGUUAACACAAGAAGUAGUAUUAGAUGUUAAGGAUAGGCUAUUAUAUGAAAGGUCGAGAAGUUUUAGAGUUGGAAGGUUUGAGAACAUGCGAAACUCUAUGACACCACUAAGAUUAUUUGAGGAUAAAACGAGGCGGGUAAGAUUGAGAAGUUGGAAUAUAGAAGAUGGAAGAGGACCUUGGAGUUUAUUAUCGUUUAACCUUAUGAAUUCUAGUGAUUUGGAUUGGAAUUCUUUGAUAUGCCCACUGAAUUGAUUUUGAGAGAGAGAUAUUGUCUUUAAGGAGGGUGCAGUAUACAACCAUGACGGAAGUGUUCCGUUGAGUAAAUUGUCAAAUAAGUAUAAAUAUAUUAGAUUAGGAAAAGCGGUUACCUCAUCUGGAAUGGAACCUUCUAAAGAAUUAUUAUAUAUUCCCAAGUAUUCCAGCUGCGUUAGGUUUAGAAUUGAGAAUGGAAUUUGUCCACUCAAUUUGUUCCCGGACAAGUCUAAAUAAGUGAGUUGCAAGAGGUUCCCCAAUGAUCUUAGAAUUUGUCCACUCAGUUGGUUCCACGACAAGUCUAAAUGAGUGAGUUGCAAGAGGUUUCCCAAUGAUCUUGGAACCGUUUCUGAUAAGUUGGAAUUGGAGAGAUCUAAAAACUUCAAGGACACAAGAUUCCCCAUCGAGUCAGGCAAUCCUCCAAAAACAUUUGCUACUGAAAUUAUCAAUUGCUCCAAAGAUGAUAAAUUUGUGAUUGAGACAGACAAUCCUUGAAAGAAAGAAUUUUGUGAUAGAUCUAAGUACUUUAAGGCCGGUAGAUUGUCAACUGAAUCAAUGAAUUCUGUAGAGAAGGACAUGAAAGACAGAUCCAAAUGUUCAAGAUUGCUGCUCCGAUUCAACUUCAAAGGAUCAAGAUUGAGGUUUUGGUUGCCUCCCAAGUUGAGGAGAUUGAGGUUUGGCAAGUCAAAAAUGUUUUUUGGGAACUUUCCUUGCAAAUCACAAUAAGCAAGACUGAGAGACCUUAGAGAAGAGGAUAGAUUCAUGAAGACAUGAGCAUUAACAGAAGACAUGUCCAUUCCAUCCAAAAACAGAUGUCUGACCUCGGUUAGGUUGUGAACAAGUCCCUCCAGAGCAUGUUUGUCAAUUGUUUGCUCAUCAUCCCAAGAGGAGAGAUCAAGUGAAACCAAUUUUGACAGGCGGGAGACUUGGGAUGGGACUUCUCCUGCAAACCCUGUAUAAGAAAGGUUGAGGUAGAAUAGGCUUGUAAAGCGACCGAACUCGGAUGGAAUUUUGGAAAGAUUAAAAUCAUUGAAGGCAAGGUUGAGUUUUUGAAGGUGAGGAAGAAGGAAGAGAGUGGUAUUGGAAGGGAAGGUGCAAUAUAGCCAACUGCAGCUCAAGUCAAGGGCAAUAACAUGAGCAUUUAGGUGGUCACAAGUGACCCCAUCCCAUGAGCAGCAAUCUGUACCCUCCUUCCAUGAAUUUGUCUUGGGAUAAGAUUUAAGGCCAGCAAAAUCAUUGCAAUAAGAAGAAGCAUCCUCUAUUAUGGAAAAAGAGUUCUUGAACUGGAUUAAUGAAGAGCAGGAGUGAGAUCCUAAAGAAGAAAAAGAAGCAUAAAGAUGGGGAAAGAAGAGGAAGAGGCAGAGAAAGAGAUAGGAGGCCAUGUUAUGUUGGUAGAGGAAGAUGAAGGAUAGGAAUGGUAUUUAUAGGCAACAAAUAAUACCACAACAUUGGUGUUACAGUCUUUCUUUUCUUUUACAUUGAAAAGCUAUGGAUAUUAGAUUUUCAAAAUUUUUGUAUUUUUCACAAUCAUCAACAACCACUUAGUCCUUUUAUCAUAUAUUUUUCAUUCUUAAAAUUAGAUAUUAGAUUUUCAAAAUAUUUGUAUUUUUCAUUUGAACUCUCUAAACAACUCAAAAAAUUAAGAUUAACUUAGUCUUUUUUCUUAUAACACUUAAAGAAUGUGUGUAAUCUAUUCACAGGUUAACCAAAGCUAAGUAAUGUGGAAAUUCUUUUUCACACGAAAGAACAAAAUUGUGCUCUAUUCACUACGUUUGAGGAAGAAGACUGUUGGAAAUUUUAUUCACCGAUUCCAUAAAUUAAAACGUGUAUACUUAUAUAUAUAUAUUUAUAACCUCAUAAUUCAAAUCUAAAAUCUUAUUUGUUAUAAAUUCUAAUAAAUUUAUUUGGGAAUAGUUAUUUUUCAUUCGUUAAUUAUUUCUCUUUUAAUCAAGUAAAAAAUUAAAACUAAAAAGACAUAAUGAUUACUUUUACCCUUGAAACUUAUAUGGUUCGUUAAAUCACCCAUUGAUGACAUAUUAACCUUUGAGUUAAACUCAAAUUGCUCUUUCCUUUGUUAUAAAUUAAGAGUAUAACUAAUUUUGAUAAGAAUGGUUACUUUUCAUUAACACAGUUUAAAGGACCAUAACACGUAAACUUUGGUCUAUUGCAGAAUUCACAUGCAAUGCAGGACAUUUACAUUAUGCAGAAUUCAACACAUAUAUGGGAAUUUUUGUAUUUCCACAAUCAUCAUGUUUUUAGUGAUCAACAACUACUUCCUUUUUACCAUAUAUUUUUCAUUCAUAAAAUUGAUUACUUCUUUUUACCAAAGAAGUAAAAUAAUUAACAUUCCUGAGAUUACAAAGUCUUCUUCCUUAUAACACGUCAAAUUUGGUCCCAAAUAAAUUUCCACACAAAAUUAAGAAUACACAAAGGCAGGAUGAAUUAUUCCAUGUUUGAACAUCUGCAACAUAAAUGCAUAUGGCAAAAAGGCUCAAACCAUACCUUAAGUUCAUGAAUUCUCAUCAUCACAUGUUUAUAAAUGCAACUCAAACUUGAAUAAUUGAAUCUUUUGUAAUUCUACAUGUAUUUGUUUUUUUUUAUGGUGAGCAGUAUAAUGUUUACUAAAAAUUGAAAUUCAAGAAAGAAGACAUACAUAGUUGCACCAUUCAAGAUAAACUUACCUCGAGUAUUGAUACUCGGGUUGAAGUAUCGAUACCAAAUCUUUUUUAUCAUAUAUUUUUCAUUCACAAAAUUGGAUACAUUUUUUUACCAAAAUUUUGUAUUUCAUUUGAAUUCCCUAAACAACUGAGAAAAUUAAAAUUGAUGAGAUUAUAAAGUAGAUUGACUUAAUCUUCUUCCUUAUAAUACGUAAAGAAUGUGAGUGUCUAUUUACUUAGUAUGUAUGGCUGUCAAGCAAUGUAGAAAUUUGCACACAAAAGAACAAAUUUGUGGACUACUUAAAAAUUCAAAGCAUGUGUGGCCAAUAUUCAUUUAUUUUAUUGCAUAAAAUUCAAGGCAUGUGUGUUGAAUAAUUUUAUCCAAGAAGCAUAUUUUCCACAAAACUUUAAUCGGUUGGCAUUAAAUAUGUCAUUUUCUAUUAACUGCAAGAAAACUAUCCGGUAAACUACAUCUUCUUCUUUUAGAUAAAAUUUUGUAAAAAAAAAUUUGACAUUAUCACUUAUAUAGUUAUAUGGUCCUUCAAUUUUAUUUUUUUUAAAAAAAAAAGUAAUUUUAACUCUCCAUUUAAUAUUUCACCUCUUUGAGUUUUUAAAUUUGUGUUAUUUAUCAAAUCAUCCCAGAAUGUAUGAAAAAGUUAACAUUUGUUAACUUUAUUGACGGAACAUACAUAUCGAUAUCAUAUAAACAAUUAAUUGAUUUUUAAAUUUUAAAAAUUUUAAAAAUAAAACAUAUAUUAAAAUUUCUAAGAAAUGAGAAAAUUUGGAAGCAUUGCAAAAGAAUGUGCAAUAAUUCCAAACAAAUUAACGCAACAUUUUAGUUACCACUUAUAUAGUCCUUCAAUUUUAUUUAAAAAAAAUUAUUUUAACUCUGCAUUUAAUUUUUCGCCUCUUUAAACUUUUAAUUUGUGUUAUUUAUCAAAUCUUCCAAACAAAUUAACGCCGUAAUAACCCAUUUUUCCCGGCCCAUAAUUAACCAAAUUAAAAAAAACGAAAUAUAAAAUUUUAAUAACAGUCCACUACAAACACAAUAAGUAGCAGGCCCAAAACCCAAAUGCACUACCUAAUUACAAACCCAACUAAACCCUAACCCAAUACAAACCCCAAAAGCCCAGCUUGCAGCCCACAACACUAAAAACAAUAGAAACCCUAGCAACAGUUUCAGCCGCCGCAACAGUGGCCCCAGCGCUGCAGACUGUCCUCCGCGCGUGUCAAGCCUCCGCGCGCGUGCGCCUCCAAGCUAGCAUGUACCUGCAACGAACAAUAAACAGCAAGCAGCAAGAGAGGCAAAAUAACAGAUUGAUAGCUAAAAAAUAAAGAGUUUUUUUGUAUUUUUUCUUUUUUUCAUUUUUCGGUUAUAUAAAGCCACUUGUGAUACUGUAAAAGGGAUUACGCAUUCGAAAGAAAAAAAAAAGAAUCAAAUAGCAGCAUAAUUUUAAGGUGGUUUCCGAUUUCUACUUCUUUUUUUUUCUUUUUCCUUUGAUUUGUUUUUAUUUGUUGAUUAAAAGAUAAAAAAAAGGGAAGUUCUUACCUACAUAUUGCGCCGCCAGGAGCCUUCGUCCCUUCUGUUUCAAAUCGAAAUGGGGUGGGCAAUGGUCGAAUCAAAAGCGGCGCACAUAGGAUAGAUUUUAGGGUUGGUUAGAUUUUUUUUUUUUAGAAAUGGAGUGUCUGCUAAUGUUAACUUAUAUAUAGCGUAUGAAACGACGACAUUUGAUGCCAUUUUAGUGGUUUCAAAAUGGCGUCGUAUAGGGCCGAGAUCCGUGCGGUGACCCGACCCGGGGAGGAUCCGCGUGUUUUCACUUUGGUGGGAUAUUUGUGCGCUAGGUUCUCUACCUUUGCACUUUGUUUUAAUUCGGUUUAUUUUGAUUCUUCAAAUUGGGCUGCAUAAUUUCCUGCUGACUACAUUUUAGUCCAUUUGCAGCGGUGCGUUUUGGUGGGCAAGGAAUAUUUCCUAUUUUAGUCCCCAUGUUAUUCGCGGUUUGUAAUUUGGUCCUUUCCUUUUAUAUAUAUAAUAAUUUUAUAUAAUACUAUUUUAUAUAUAUAUAAUUUGUAUUAAGUUUUUUAUAUAUCAUCGAUUUCAUAUUUACGUAUUUUUCUACUUAUUUCAUAUAUAAUCUGUUUCAUUUAAAACUUUACUUUAUUAUAUACUUGAUUUAUAUCAACCUUUUAUACAUACUAUUAUACGUAUACGUAUAUUGUUUAUUUUAAAUUAAUAUGUAUAUAUUAUUUCAUGUAUUUCGGUUUUCUUCAUAUACAAUAUUCACUUUAAAAUUCAUUUUAAUAUUAUUUUUUUCGUAGUAUUUAUUUUUUAUCUUCAUUUUUGACUUAUUUCAAACUCAUAUAUGUAUAUCUAUUAUCUUUGCUAAUGUGCAUACAUAUGCAACUUCAUUUAAAUAUAAAAAAUCUAAAAAUAAUUAAAUAUGUAUAAAUCUAAAAAUAUCUUAAAAUUAAAACUAAAAAAUUUUAAACUAAUGCAAAUUUUUAUUAUUUAAAAAAUCUUAAAAUUUUCAAAUUAAAUUCCAUUUGUUUUCCACCGUUGAAGAACACCUUCAAUCACAUUAACAACUUCAUGCUAUUUUGCCUAGAAAUUAUUUUGCAAAUUUAUUUUGUUUUAUUUAUUUCUAAAUCCAUAUUUCUUUUCUGUAACUCCAAUUAUUAGAUUGUUUAGGGUUUUGAGUAACUUUCGAUUUUGGAAUUUUAGAUUUUUAAAUUUAAAUACGAAGUGCUCUUCUUCUUCUCCAAACCCACAAAUUUUCUACCAAAUUUCAACUCAAGGUUUUACUUUCAGCUAUAAAUAAAACAUAUAUUAUAUUUAUAAUGACCUAAGAAUAGUAGAGUCGACGCCGAUCUACAUGAAAAAGGAGGGAAAAAAACAGGCAAAGAAAGAUGAUAUGAAGAGAGCAUAAAUCAAUAAAGCAAAUGAAAAACGAGUAGAAUUAAAGUAAAUGGGUAUUUAAUAUUUUUUUGUGAAAGUUCAAAGACUAAUUAUGUAUGAGCUUGGAUGUGGAAAAAUUAGUUGGAAAUUUUUUUUCUUGCACCAAUUGAUUUUUUUUAUAUAGAAUUUGUAUUUAUUUUUUAAGAUUUUUAAAUUUUGUUACAAUUAUUUUUAUGAAAAUUUGAAAAUAUAAAAAUACUUUUUGAACUAUAAUUCAAGGAUUAAAUUAGCUAUUAAUCAUUUGAAUAAAUAAAACAUAUACAUGAAUUAAGUAAUUAAUCCACAAGCAAUGUUGGACAUUUUCAUAAUGCCAAAUUUCACUUCAGAUUUAGUUACCCAUAAUCAUAUUUAAACAAACAAAAACAUAACAAUCACACAAAAUAGGCAUAACUAGAAAACAUGAGAAAAAUGAGAAAAGCUUGAAAACAAUUACAAUGGUAGCAAAGGAAAUGUAAAAAAAAAAACUUAAAAAUCAGAUUUUUAAUGAUGAAGGGAAUUGAUCAUUUAUAUUAAAACCAAGGAUUAAACUGAAAAUACAAAGAGUUGAAGGUACUAAACUAGCAAACAAACCCUAGCUGCAAUGUUAAUUAACUUAACUAACUACUAUUGGAACCAAGAAAAACUAAAAGAAAACAUGAAUUACACCCUAGAGUUAUGGAGAAGAAAACAAAAACUCUAAAAAUAAAGAGGAAAUUUGAAAACCAUGAAAUGUUAAGUGUGCCUUUUGUUCAGCCAAUUUUUUGCCCUUUCUAGAAUUACAGAUCCAAAAAUAGUGGCCAAAUUGUCCUUGAUCGUUUAAUUUUGGUUAGGGGACAUGUUGGAAACGGAUUACCCAUACGGUUAUAUUUUGUCUCCUCUCAUCAAUGAUAUUGCCAUACCCAAAGUUUGGUAUCGCGAUAUCCACAACAAUCUUGGGGAUCCUUAGGAGUUUUGAGUAUCGCGAUACCUUAUGACUGGUAUCAUGAUAGCACUGUUGAUGGCUCAAUCUUCCUUGUUUUUAACAUUGUUAUGGGUGUUACGACUUUCAAUCUUCCUUAUUUUUAACAUUGUUAUGCAAUACCCUCUUUCUAGGUGACAUUUUCGCUCCUUCCGGGUCACCAUGGGCUCUCUGCAUCACUCACCAAUCACAUUAGAUUCCCCGGGUGCCAUUUGACCAUCUCAGGUCUCAAAAUAGCAUCAAAAUGCACACUAAUCAUUUAUUAAUAUAAAUAACUAAAACUAAAUAAAAACACAACAAAGAUAUCUAAAUUGCUCGAAAAUAAGCUUUUAAGUGUGAUGGAGAGCCUAAUUUGACAUAUCAAUUUACAGCAUGUCAUAAAUAUAAUUUGCGGAACCUUGUUAAAAUUUUGGGUUUCUUUAUUAGUUUUCUUUCAAUAUUCUGUAUGGUACAUUUGUAUUAAUAUAUUGUGCAGAUCAUAGACUAAAUUGCUUUAUUAGUUUUCUAUUGUUAAUCUCACUUUUUAUUAAUUAAGGAAUACGAAUUAGAAUUAAUAUGAAAUUACUAUUUCAACAUUUCAUAAGAAAAAGCUAAAAUAAUAUUUGUCAUAUCCCAUAUGCUCAUAUAUAGCUUGUCGAAACCAUUUUCUUGUAAAAGGGGGGUUGACUUUGGUUUUAAAACGAAAAUUGGAGUCGUCACCGAUUAUUUUUAUGAGGUGUAAUCGGGUCACCUCGUAACGGUUUAAUUUAUAACAAUUUUGGUCUACGAAAUUUAGAAGAAAAAAAGGGGUUCGGGAGUCGGUUACGUACGAGGAAGGAUUAGCACCCUCAUAAUGUCCAAAAUUGGUACCUAAUUGAUUACUUAAUGUCUUAAUGUCGAAAAUUAAAAAUUCGAAAAGAAUUUAAAAUAAGAUCCCUGUUUAUUAAUGUUAUUUAUUUUAAAAGAAUUUGCUUGAAUAAGUUGCAAUGAAUGUCAAAGACCCUCCCGUCUCGAGAUAACUAGUGUCACGUCCCGUAAGUGAGGAUACGACGCUUGGAAACCUAGAGAAUAAGCCUGGCUUUAACUCUUACUGAGAUUUCGUGUGUUUUGAAAUUUAAAAGGAUAUUUUGUUAUUUAGGUUUAACGAGAAAAUCGAAACCUCGUAAGUUAGGGUACGAUUUUUCUCGAAUUUUCAAAACGCAAAAUUUUUUUUUUGAAUUUAAGUAAAAACUAAUGUAAUAUGUAAUAAGAUAUGUGUUUAAUUUAUUCAAACAUCGCCUGAAAGUGAACAAAUAAUUUUAAAAAAAAUGAUGUAUAAUGCAACAUAUUAACUACUACAACGAAAGUGAAAUGCAAUGAAAGUCAUGAAAUCGAAAGAUUAUCGAGACUAAAUUGAAAGUCAUGAAAGAAGACAUAAACAACACCACCAUACAAAAUGUUACACUCAAACAAACCAUUACAGAUAGUACGAAAUGAAAUGGAAAGACACAGGAAUUGGCACAAUAAUAAAGACAGACACAUACAAAUGCAAACCAUAGGCAAAACGGUCUACAGAACAAGAAAUUGUGAAAAUACAACACUAAUUCUUGAACAGCAUUUGCAGUAAUUAGAUCCUUCUUCGCCUAUUGCUUCGAUUGCCUUUAUUUGACUUUCUUCUUCGCCUCUUCUCUUGUUGGUUUUCAACCAAAUUCACCAACCAUUUUGGCUUUCCAGUUUGGAAAACAACAAAUCCCACGGACAUUCCGAACACCACUCCGCAUCCAUAGCCUAUCAACCCCACUUUCCAACCAAAAGCAAUGUUUGAUUUUGAGCCAUCUUUUUCAAGCACAUUUGGAGGUGCUGGCUUAAUGAUGUUGCAACCUUUAGAGACCGGAAAUCCACAUAGUCCCUUAUUUCCUUCAUAUGAAUCAUUUCCAAAUGUGUUGAACUGUUUGCCUUGAGGAAUCUGACCAUGGAGUUGAUUUUCAGAAACAUUGAAGGACGAAAGAAAUGGCAGAUCUACCAAUCUAUUUGGAAUCCUCCCAGACAAACUGUUUGAAGAUAGGUCCAACCAUUCAAGACUUGUCAAAUUCCCUAUUGAGGUGGGGAUACCACCAUUAAGGUUAUUAUGAGAAAGGUUGAGCCCUUUCAGUAAGUUAAGCUUCCCAAAAACCUCUGGAAUACACCCUUCAAACUGAUUGUUUGAUAGAUCAAUGAUCAUCCACAUGGUGAAAAUUUUCACCAAUUCCAUAUAUUGUCCUUUCAUAACAAUUCCGAUGGAAUAGGUAUAGAAGCCGCGACCUCCAGGAUCAUUCACCCCCAUGUACGACUCUAUAAUACCAAUCUUCUCUAGAUUUAUGAUAGCCUUGAAGCUGUUGAUGUAUCUCACUGGUAGGGGUCCAGAAAAAUAAUUACUUGAGAGGUCAAAAAUUUGGACUUUAGAGAAAAAAGGGCUAGACUUGGAGCUAUUGACACAUAAGGAACCACGCAUAUGAUUUGACUUCAAUACAAGAACUUGUAGCUGUGGAAGACUUCCCAACCAAUGAGGAAAUGUAUCAUUGAUCUUGUUGUUACCAAGAUCUAGCACUUCCAGACCAUUACAAUUAAGGAUGGAUGGUGUCAAAGGCCCUUCUAACAGAUUUCCAUUUAAGUUGAAAUUACUCAAUCGGCAUCCCUUUGCAAAUGUUGGAGGAAUCGUCCCAUAGAACUUGUUCUUCUUCAAAUUCAAGAAUUCGAGGCUGUUGCUCAAAUUUCCAAAACAUUGCGGAAUUGUUCCACUCAAGUUAUUGUGGGACAAAUCAAGAAUUCGAAGAGAAGUGACAUUGCAGAUUACAGAAGAGACCUCUCCAUUGAAACUAUUAUUUGAGAUCAGAAAGACAUCGAUCGUGGAAGCUGGAAUCGGAAGAUUUCCACGGAUCAAAUUGGAGCUUAAGUCAAGAACUGCAAUAUUCUUCCACGGGAAGUGCUCAACUUCUGUCAAAGAGUUGUGAGAUACAUUUAAGUAAGUCAAAGAGCCAUUCCCCACCUCUUGCAUCCACUGUGGAAUCUUGCCUUCAAUUUUGUUGCAAGAGAGGUCUAAGCUUUCCAAACUUUUAAGCCCUUUCAAAAAUUGGGGGAAUUCACUAAGAUUGCAAGAUGACAAAAAUAACCUUGUAAGAUUAAUAGUAGAAGUAGUGUUAGAUGUUAAGGAUAGGCUGUUAUAUGAAAGGUCGAGAUAUUUGAGAUUUGGAAGGUUUGAGAACAUGCUAAACUCUAUGACACCACUAAGAGUAUUUGAGGAUAAGCUGAGGCCGGUAAGAUUGAGAAGUUGGGAUAUUGAAGAUGGAAGAGGACCUUGGAGUUUAUUAUUCUCUAAGCGUAUCAAUUCUAGUGAUUUGGAUUGAAAUUCUUUGAUAUGCCCACUGAAUUGAUUUUGAGAGAGAUCUAUUGUCUUUAAGGAGGGAGCAGCAUAUAACCAUGACGGAAGUGUUCCAUUGAGUAAAUUGUCAGAUAAGGCUAAAGAUAUUAGAUUAGGAAAAGCGGUUACGUCAUCUGGAAUGGAACCUUCUAAACAAUUAUUAGAUAUUUCCAAGUAUUCCAGCUGCGUUAGGUUUAGAAUUGACAAUGGAAUUUGUCCACUCAAUUUGUUCCCUGACAAGUCUAAAUAAGUGAGUUGCAAGAGGUUCCCCAAUGAUAUUGGAACCGGUCCUGAUAAGUCGGAAAAGGAGAGAUCUAAAAACUUCAAGGACACAAGAUUCCCCAUCAAGUCAGGCAAUCCUCCAAAAUCAUUUGCGCCUGAAAUUAUCAAUUGCUCCAAAGAUGAUAAAUUUGUGAUUGAGACAGACAAUCCUUGAAAGAAAAAAUUUCCUGAUAGAUCUAAGUACUUUAAGGCCUGUAGAUUAUCAACUGAAUCAAUGAAUUCUGUAGUGGGGGACAUCCACGACAGAUCCAAAUGUUCAAGAUUGUUGCUCCGAUUCAACUUCAAAGGAUCAAGAUUGAGGACUGGGUUGCCUCCCAAGUUGAGGAGAUUGAGGUUUGGCAAUUCAAAAAUGUUUUUUGGGAAUUUUCCUUGCAAAUCACAAUAAGCAAGACUGAGAGACCUUAGAGAAGAGGAUAGAUUCAUGAAGACAUGAGCAUUAACAGAAGACAUGUCCAUUCCAUCCAAAAACAGAUGUCUGACCUCGGAUAGGUUGUGAACAAGUCCCUUCAGAUCAUGUUUGUCAAUUGUAAAUUGCUCAUGGACAUAAAUCAAAGCGGAGAGAUCAAGUGAAACCAAUUUUGACAGGCGGGAGACUUGGGAUGGGACUUCUCCUGCAAACCCUGUACGAGAAAGGUUGAGGUAUAAUAGGCUUGUAAACCGACCGAACUCGGAUGGAAUUCUGGAAAGAUUAAAAUCAUUGUAGGCAAGGUUGAGUUUUUGAAGGUGAGGAAGAAGAAAGAGAGUGGUAUUGGAAGGGAAGUUGCCAUAUAGCCAACUGCAGCUCAAGUCAAGGGCAAUAACAUGAGCAUUUAGGUGGUCACAAGUGACCCCAUCCCAUGAGCAGCAAUCUGUACCCUCCUUCCAUGAAUUUGUCUUGGGAUAAGAUUUAAGGCCAGCAAUCUCAUCGCAAUAGAAAAAAGCAUCCUCUGUCUGAGUGAUGGAAAAAGAAUUCUUGAACUGGAUUAGUGAAGCAGCUUCAGGGUGAGAGCAGGAGUGAGAUCCUGAAGAAGAAGCAUAAAGAUGGGGAAAGAAAAGGAAUAGGCAGAGAAAGAGAUAGGAGGCCAUGUUAUGUCUGUAAAGGAAGAAGAAGGAUAGGAAUGGUAUUUAUAGGCAACAAAUAAUACCACAACAUUGGUGUUACAGUCUUUUUUUUCUUUUACAUUGAAAAGCUAUGGAGAUUAGAUUAUCAAAAUUUUUGCAUUUUUCACAAUCAUCAACAACCACUUAGUCUUCUUUUUACCAUAUAUUUUUCAUUCUUAAAAUUAGAUGCUUGUUUUUUAGCAAAAUCUUGUAUUUCAUUUGAACUCCCUAAACAACUAAAAAAAUUAAGAUUGAUGAGAUUACAAAGUAGAUUGACUUAGUCUUCUUUCCUAUAACACUUAAAGAAUGUCUUGUCAACCAAAAGAAAUGUUUAAUUUUGAGCCAUCUUUUUCAAGCACAUUUGGAGGUGCUGGCUCACUGAUGUUGCAACCUUUCGAGACCGGAAAUCCACAUAGUCCCUUAUUUCCUUCAUACGAAUCAUUUCCAAAUGUGUUGAAUUGUUUGCCUUGAGGAAUCUGACCAUGGAAUUGAUUUUCUGAAACAUUUAAGGACGAAAGGAAUGGCAGAUCUGCCAAUCUUUUUGGAAUCGUCCCAGACAACCUGUUUGAAGAUAGGUCCGACCAUUCAAGACUUGUCAAAUCCCCUACUGAGGUAGGGAUACCACCAUUAAGGUUAUUAUGAGAAAGGUUGAGCCCUUUCAGUAAGUUAAGCUUCCCAAUAACCUUUGGAACUCCCCUUCAAACUGAUUGCUUGAUAGAUCAAUGAUCAUCCACAUAGUGAAAAUUUUCACCAAUUCCAUAUCUUGUCCUUUCAUAACAAUUCCAAUGGAAUAGGCAUAAAAGCCACGACCUCCAAGAUCAUUCACCCCCAUGUACGACACUGUACUACCAACCUUCUCUAGAUUUAUGAUAGCCUUGAAGCUGUUGAUGUAUCUCACUGGUAGGGGUCCAGAAAAAUAAUUACUUGAGAGGUCAAAAAUUUGGAUUUUAGAGAAAAAAGGGCUAGACUUGGAGUUAUUGACACACAAGGAACUAUGCAUUUGAUUUGACUUUAGUACAAGAACUUGUAGCUGUAGAAGACUUCCCAACCAAUGCGGAAAUGUAUCAUUGAUCUUGUUGUUACCAAGAUCUAGCACUUCCAGACCUUUACAUUUAAGGAUGGAUGGUGUCAAAGGCCCUUCUAACAGAUUUCUAUUUAAGUUGAAAUUACUCAAUUGGCAUCCCUUUGCAAAUGUUGGAGGAAUCGUCCCAUAAAACUUGUUCUUCUUCAGAUUCAAGAAUUGAAGGCUGUCGCUCAAACUUCCAAAACAUUGCGGAAUUGUUCCACUCAAGUUAUUGUGGGACAAAUCAAGAAUUUGAAGAGAAGUGACAUUGCAGAUUAAAGAAGAGACCUCUCCAUUGAAACUAUUAUUUGAGAUCAGAAACACUUUGAUCGUCGAAGCUGGAAUCGGAAGAUUUCCACGGAUCAAAUUGGAGCUUAAGUCAAGAAUUGCAAUAUUCUUCCAUGGAAAUCGCUCAACUUCUGUCAAAGAGUUAUGUGAUACAUUUAAGUAACUCAAAGAGUCAUUCCCCACCUCUUGCAUCCACUGUGGAAUCUUGCCUUCAAUUCCGUUGUAAGAGAGGUCUAAACUUUCCAAACUUCUAAGCCCUUUUAAAAAUUGGGGGAACUCACUAAGAUUGCAAGAUGACAAAAAUAAGCUUGUAAGAUUAGCAGUAGAAGUAGUACUAGAUGUUAAGGAUAGGCUGUUAUAUGAAAGGCCGAGAUGUUUGAGAUUUGGAAGGUUUGAGAACAUGCUAAACUCUAUGACACCACUAAGAUCAUUUGAGGAUAAGCUGAGGUAGGUAAGAUUGAGAAGUUGGAAUAUUGAAGACGGAAGAGGACCUUGGAGUUUAUUAUUUUUUAGAUAUAAAUAUUCUAAGGAGGGAGCAGUAUACAACCAUGACGGGAGUGUUCCAUUGAGUAAAUUGUUAGAUAAGUAUAAAUAUUUUAGAUUAGGAAAAGCGGUUACCUCAUCUGGAAUGGAACCUUCUAAUAAAUUUUCUGUUAUAUCCAAGAAUUCAAGCUGGGUUAGGUUUAGAAUUGACAAUGAAAUUUGUCCACUCAAUUGGUUCUGCGACAAGUCUAAAUGAGUGAGUUGCAAGAGGUUCCCCAAUGAUCUUGGAAUUGGUCCACUCAAUUGGUUCUGCGACAAGUCUAAAUUAGUGAGUUGCGAGAGUUUCCCCAAUGAUCUUGGAAUUUGUCCACUCAAUUGGUUCUGUGACAAGUCUAAAUGAGUGAGUUGCAAGGAGUUCCCCAAUGAUCUUGGAAUUUGUCCACUCAAUUGGUUCUGCGACAAGUCCAAAUGAGUGAGUUGCAAAAGGUUCCCCAAUGAUCUUGGAAUUUGUUCACUCAAUUGGUUCUGUGACAAGUCUAAAUGAGUGAGUUGCAAGAGGUUUCCCAGUGAUCUUGGAACCGGCCCUAAUAAGUUGGAAUAGUAUAGAACUAAAAACUUCAAGGACACAAGAUUCCCCAUCGAGUCAGGCAAUCCUCCAAAAAUAUCUGCGCCACUAAUAACCAAGUACUCCAAAGAUGAUAAAUUUGUGAUUGAGACAGACAUUCCUUGAAAGAAAGAAUUUCCUGAUAGAUCUAAGUACUUUAAGGCCCGUAGAUUAUUAACUGAAUCAAUGAAUUCUGUAGAGAAGGACAUGGACGACAGAUCCAAAUGUUCAAGAUUGCUGCUCCGAUUGAACUUCAAAGGAGCAAGAUUGAGGUUUGGCAAAUCAAAAAUGUUUUUUGGGAAUUUUCCUUGCAAAUCACAAUCAGCUAGACUGAGAGACCUUAGAGAAGAGGAUAGAUUCAUGAAAACAUAAGCAUUAACAGAAGACAUGUUGAUUCCAUGCAAAAACAGAUGUCUGACCUCGGUUAGGUUGUGAAUAAGUCCCUCCACAGCAUGUUUGUCAAUUGUAAAUUGCUCAUAGUCAUAAAUCCAACAGGAGAGAUCAAGUGAAACCAAUUUUGACAUGUGGGAGACUUGGGAUGGGACCUCUCCUACAAAUCUGGUAUGAGAAAGGUUGAGAUAUACUAGACUUUCAAACCGACCAAACUCAGAUGGAAUUUUGGAAAGAUUAAAAUCAUUGUAGGCAAGGUUGAGUUUUUGAAGGUGAGGAAGAAGGAAAAGAGUGCUAUUGGAAGGGAAGUUGCCAUAUAGCCAACUGCAGCUCAAGUCAAGGGCAAUAACAUGAGCAUUUAGGUGGUCACAAGUGACCCCAUCCCAUGAGCAGCAAUCUGUACCCUCUUUCCAUGAAUUUGUCUUGGGAUAAGAUUUAAGGCCUGUAAUAUGAUCGCAAGACAAAGAAGCAUCCUUUGUUAUGGAAAAAGAGUUCUUGAACUGGAUUAGUGAAGAGCAGGAGUACUGAGAUCCUGAAGAAGCAUAAAGAUGGGGAAAGAAAAGGAGUAGGCAGAGAAAGAGAUUGAAGGCCAUGUUAUGUUUGUAGAGGAAGAUAAAGGAUAGGAGUGGUAUUUAUAGGCGACAAAAAAAGGGUUACAGUCUUUUUUUAUUUGACAUUGAAAAGCUAUGGAUAUUAGAUUUUUAAAAUUUUUGUAUUUGUCCCAAUCAUCAACAACCACUUCCUUUUUACCAUAUAUUUUUCAUUCUUAAAAUUGGCUGCUUUUUUUAGUAAAAUCAUGUAUUUCAUUUGAACUCCCUAAACAACUAAAAAAUUAAGAUUGAUGAGAUUACAAAAUAGAUUGACUUAGUCUUUUUCCUUAUAACAUGUAAAUAAUGUGAGUGUCUAUUCACUUGCUUGUCAACCAAAGCUAAUUAAUAUGGAAAUUUUUUUGUACACAAAAGAAUAAAAUUGUGCUCUAUUCACUACGUUUAGGGAAGAAGACUGUUGGAAAUUUAAUACACCGAUUUCAUAAAAAAGUGUUUACUUAUAUCUAUAUAUAUAUAUAACCUCAUAAUUCAAAUCUAAAAUCUAAUUUGUUAUAAAUUCUAAUAAAUUUAUUUGGGGCUAGUUAUUUUUUAAUCAAGUAAAAAAUUAAAAUCGAAAACCUCAUUAUUUGUUGACGUGUUUACUUUUAUAUAUAUAUAUAUAUAUAUUUCUCUUUUAAAAAAUUAAAACUAAAAAUAUAUAAUGAUUUAUUUGGCAUUUUUUAACUUUACAAACAAAAAGUCAUUUUAGUUUUUCCCUUUUUUUUUUGUGUGUCUCUUUUAGCCUUGAAACUUGUAUAGUUUGUUAAAUCACCUAAAAAAAUGAUGAAAAAGUUAACAUCUGUAUACUAACAAAACUAGCACUUACGUGGCUGAUGUUGACUGUUAGUAGUUAAUGGCAACACCUAAGUGGCUAUUAACAGAUACCACACCAUUGUUUGUUGACGUGACGAUGCCACAUUAUUAAUAAUCGCUGACAUGGUAGUGCCACGCCAUCGCCCAUCGGUGACAUAUUAACCUUUGAGUUCAAUUCAAAUUUCUCUUUCCUUUGUUAUAAAUUAAGAAUAUAACUAAUUUUGAUGGGAAUGGUAACUUAUCAUUAACUCGGUUUAAAAGACUAUAACAGGUAAAGUUUAGUCCUAUUACUGUCCGUGCCACAUUAAUGUGAGACAUUUACAUUACGCAGAAUUCAAAGCAUAUAUGGAAAUUUUGCAGUAUUGACUAUUGAAUAUGCUCUACUCCACAAAAAAGACUAAGACUGUCAGUUGUCUAUUGACUUCACUUGAUGUUACUUCCUAUCACUCUCACCCAAACUUAAUUUACAAGGAACGUGGAGAUUUCAAACAUUUGCAGCACAAAAUACAAUAAUUCAACACAAUUUGCAGUAUUGACUAAAAGCCAUUAAACAUUCAUUAUUGAUUGCAAUUAUAAUUAUAACAUCAUUAAAAGAAACAUAUUAUUUUAAUUUAUUGCUUAAAAAUUCAAAGCGAACGUGGAAAUAUUUCAUGGGUUGGCACUAAAUGUGUGUCAUUUUCUAUUAAUUGCAAGAAAACUACUCGGGAAACUGCAUUUUUAUGGAAAAUUUUUUACUAUAAUGACUUAUUUUGUCCUCUAACUUUAUUUAAGAGAUUAUUUUAGUCCUCUAUUUAAUUUCGAAUAGUUGCAGAACAAAGUCCAAUAACUCCAUACAAAAUAACAACAAUUUGCAAUAUCGACUACGUUUACUCGAGAGGUAGAUAGAUGUGCAGAGGGAAAAAAAAAGACAUGGUUGCUGGAAAUUCUACCUUGUUUGUACAGUCGACUAAAGGCCAUUAAGGACAUCAAUUCCUCUAAUUAGAUAAUACCAAAUGGGAGACCAAUUAGGUUUACUCUUUAAACUUUUAGUCUCAUAACACCAUCAUUGAUUAGUGUCAAAAGUAACAUAUUUUAACCUCAUUCUUAGUACAUUGUUAAGUGAUUAUGUGACAUUAAUUGUGAAUUAUAUGCUUCUAAUCCUUUAUAAGAAUGGAAGCAAGAAGCUACAAGAGGAGAGCACAAAAUUACUUUGAGAACACCAUUGAAGCCUAUUUCCAAGUAAUUUUUCAUCAAGAUUUAAGAGUCUAAGUUGAUUUUAAAGAGAGUUAUCAUGGAUUUUUUUUUUAUUGUAGUGGUUAUAUUGUAUUUUUUUUGUGUUUACUCUUACCAUUAUGAACUGAUUCUCUUAAUACUUAGGGGAGAUGAACCUUAGAAUGAAUUCUAUUAUUUGAUUUAUAUUUUUAUGCAAUAAAAUCUUAGUCUCUUUGUUUUCAAUUAUGAAUGUUCUGUUAUUCUUGGGUUAAUAAUUCUAGAGUGUUAAUUCAUGUUUGAUGAGCAUAAGUCUGGGGUUGAAUAAACCCUUCUUGUGAUUAGAUCUUGCAUAAUUGAAUUGAGUUGCAUGCAAUUCUAUAAAUAAAACGACAUAAAUCUAUCAGAUUAAAGUCAAAUCUAAUUAGUGUAAUUGGAAAGUCAAAUGAUGUAUAUCACAAACGAGAAAUUCUAAUUAGUGUAAUUGGUAUUAUCAAAUGAUGACUUCAAAUGUUGAUCAUCCUCGACCACAAACUAUCUAAGUUUGCAGUGUGAAAGCAGCUACUUCCAUUACAGAAACCUUUCACUGUAUAUUGACUUGGUCUUAUUUCCUAUAACACCUCAUGUUUGGUCAUAGAUGGUGGAAGAUAGUAGAGACUCGAUACAACACACCAUUUGCACCUGCAAUUAAGCUUCUUUAAAAGGAAAUGGGAUCCACCAAUUUUACCUAAACUCACAUCAACAUUGUUAUGGGGCUUUUCAUUUCGUGAAGCACCUAAUAUUUGUCUCAACGUGUUUACUGGUUCCUCAAUUUCACAUCAAUGCAUUCAAUUUCAAAAUAGAUUAAGUUGUUUGGUUCAAAUACCAAGACUGCCAACAUCUAUUGACUUCACUUGGUCCGGCUUCCUCUCACUGUCAACCAAACUUAAUCGAGAAGUACUAAGGAAAUUUCAGUCAUUUGCAGCGUAAUGUACAGGAACUCCACGCCCACAAAAUAAUUUAUAAUAUUUUGGAUGGAUGUUGCGUUUACUUACGACUAGUGUAAAAAUAAUGGUAGCGGUGAGAUUAGGUAUUGUAGCAUGAGACCAAAAGUAAAUUAAACACACCACACCGCACUCAAUCGCCUAUCCGAAUUCACCCUAAGUUUGAUGUGCUGAGAAAAAAAAAGCAUGAAUGAUGAAGAAUUAAAGCCAAUACUUGGUAAGUACCCUAAUUAGUUUACAAGUAAAUAUUCUUGUACUAAUUAUUCAGGCAAACCUUAGCCAAUAAUAAAAAAUAUAUAAUGAUCUAUUAGGUCCUCCAACUUUAUAAAAAAGAAUCAUUUUAACUCAGGGGCAUAAUUAGGGGUUGACAAGGGCCUGCCUGAAAUUACAAUUUGGCCCUCCCUAAAAUUGAUAAAAAUUUGAUUUAAUUAUUUAAAAAAUAUAAAGAUAUAGAGUAUUAAAAUGGUAAAAUUGCAUUUUUACUGUCAUAAAUAUUUAUAAUUUAAUUUCGGCCCCCUAAAAAAUUUUCUGGCUUCUCCCAUGUUUUAGCCCUUCAUUUAAUUUUUCAUCUUUUUUAGCCCUUUAAUUUGUAUUAUUUGACAAUUCACCUCAAAAAAGAUAGAAAAGUUAAUAUUUAUUAACUUUGUUGACGUGACAUCCACAUGACAGUACAUGUGUAUGUAACGUCAACAAUCAAUUAAUUUUUUAAAACUUAAAAAUAUUUUUUAAUAAUUUUUGAAUUUUAAAAAUUAAUUAAUUAUUAAUGUGGCAUUCAUAUGACAAUCCACAAAAAUUAAUUAAUAAUUGAAAGUUGCGUUACAUUAAAAUUAGUUUGUUAGAAUGGAAUUCUAAUAAAUUUAUUUGGGAAUGAUUACUUUUCGUUAAAGUGGAGUCAAUAUUACUUGGUUAACUAUUUCUCUUUUAGCCAACUACAAAAUUCAAGUCCAUUACAAAAUUGUAGAGGGACUAAAUCCCUAAAAAUAAAAUGUAUAGAGAUUAAACUUUAAAUUUACAAAGAGUACAAGAAAUUUGAAUAUAUUACAACUAUUAAAUUUUCCCUCUAUAAUUUAGUUAAAAAUAAAUAAAUAAUUCCCUCAACGCCAAACGUGGAUAAUAAACAUACUAGUUUAAUGUAUAUAUUUGGUACACUUUUUUUUUAGUAAGAGCAUAUCACCACCAUGUCAGCAAUUUUAAGAUGAUGUGGUAGUGCCACAUAUUACUAUUUCUCUUUUGGCUAACUAGAAAAUUAAAAUAGAAAAAAAGAUGAUCUCAUUUCGAAAGACUAUAAGACGUAAAAGUUUGGUCCAACACUGUUAGCGUCUAUUGACUUCAACUGCUUUUACUGUUUGUGUCAACCAAAUUAGAUAACCUGCAAGCAGUGUAGGACAUCUGCAUAAUGCAAAAUUUUACACAAAUAAUAUGAAAUUUUUGCAAUAUUUGACUGUAUACAUUUACUCGAGAAAACUGCGAUUAGGUGAGAAAUUUUCACAUUCAUGCAUUGAAGUUCGAGAUACCUUUAGAAUUUAUUGAAAAAUGGUAAUUUUUAGAAAAUUUGAGGCAUAUUUGUGAUUGGUAAAUGUGGAGAGUUGAAUCAUAAAAUUAUGAGACCUUUAUAAUGGUAAUCUUCUUGUGAAUUGUGUUGAGAAAAAUGAGAAGCAUUAGUCUCAUGCUGGUUGAGAAUUAAGUGUGGGACUUAUAUAUAUAUAUAUAUGUAUGUAAAUCAACUUAGUAGCUAUUUAAUGACUAAAGCUUGAAACUCUGUCUCAUGCGCAAUUGGGGUGCAAAUCUAAACCCAUCGGGGUUGGGGCAUACCCGCACGACAUGGGUGACGCGAAAUGUCCGGACCAAUAGGGCCCAAGAAUGGCAUGCAGAUAUUUUAGCCCAAUACAAAAGAUAUUAUACAGAAUUUGUUUAAAAGGACAAAUAUAUCAAUUUGAUUUUAUUUGAUUCAAAUUGAUUUAAAGGCUCCUCAAAUUUUAUUCAAAUUUAUCUCAGGAUACACAACGAAUUUUCAAACAUUUCGGUGAUAGAAUAAGGCAAUGUUUGUUCGUUGAUCACUACAUAGGUACUACUGCUGCGAUUAUUUUGUUGUUGUAUCCUGAGAGACAGAUGACUAACGCUUCUCCAAUUGUCAUAAGAACGACCAAAUCUAUCUUAAGAAAACUAUGAAAGCAGGUCUCAACAUCUAAUAAAACUCAAUUCCCUUAUUUUAUUUUUGAUUUUUUAAAAUCUUGUUUAUUUAAUUAUUUUUAGAUCUAAUGUUUUAAAUAAAUAUUUAUUUAAUUUGUUUUAUUUAGAUCUAGUAUUUUUACAUAAAUAUAAAUAUUUGUUUAUAUUAUUUGUUCAGAUCGUGCAUUUAAUAUUUAUAUUUAUUCGGUAACGUAUUUUCUCCAACAAAUUUAUCUUUAUAGUGGAUCCACUUUUUGAAUUAUAUUAACACUGCAAAUUAUUCUGAUGAAUCUUAUUGAAAAUUGUUCUUUUGAUGAAAUUGUGGGUCAAUGUUGUUUCGUAAUUUCUCUUUUAACCCAUAUAUAUAUAUAUAUAUAUAUAUAUAUAUAUAUAUCUAUGCAAUGCUAUUGUAUAUAUUAUUGUUACUCAAAUAUGAUGAUAGAUCUAUCGGUUUGGGACAUCCUAUUAUUUUACCUAGAAAUUUUUAAAUUAAAAAAAAAAUAGUUACAUGGAUGGAUUGAAGUUAAAAAUGAGUGACAUCCUCAAUUAAUAUCAAGACUAGAGCAUAAAAAUUAAAAGAUUAUAUCGUCCCUAAGUGUGUAUAAAUUAAUAACACUUUAAAAAUUUUGAGCAAAUACCAGGCCCAAACUGUUAACCUAUUACCUAAACUGUAACAUCUUGAUUUUGUGUCUAGUAGGAACAGUAGUCGAGAGACCACAAAUCCGACAUCAAAAUAUUUUUUUAUUAUUUUUAUGUCUAUAGUAUGAUACUAAAGUUGUGUGAAAUUUUCAUAAAGAAAUUUCUUCGUUUGAGUACUCAAUUUGAUAAAAAGAACUAAAUCGCGUAAGGUGCAAAACUUGAGGUCUAAUUGAUAAAGGCACUAAAUAGUUAUAGAAUUGAAAAGUAUGGGCACUUGCAUGGAAAUUAUACCAAUAAAAAAGUGAGGAGACAAAGAUGGACAUGUAGUAGAUGGAUUUGGUGAAGUUACUAAAAGUUAAAUUGGUAAAUAAGUUAAUAGGAUAAUAAGACAAAAUAGCAAAAGCUAUCAUCUUUAUUUUUCUUCUUCUUCAACCGUAAUAGAAAAAAAUGGAGGGUUUCAUUUGGCCAAGCUUUGGAGCUUAUGUGAGUGGUUUUUGCCCCGUUUUUAAUGAUUUCUAUGUUUUUGGAGUUGUGGUAACUCGAUUUAGCUAUCUCGUACCUUCAUUUUCAAAACUGUUAAAGUUUGUAAAUUUUGCCAUGGUUGAUAAAGUGUGUAUUUUGAUAAUUGAUGAUAGAAAAUACAUCCUUGUUGUUAGAUAAACAACAUUUGUAAAGACCACAGGCAGUGGAAACAACAAGAAGGCCAUAGCCAACCAACAAAACACGAGAACGACCCAGAUGCUAAAAAAAAAAAACACAUGAAUUCCAACAAUUGCAUAACCCCAAUUUCAACACCAAUUAGUUUUACUCAACUCUAAUCUGUAAUUACACUCAUUGUUGAAAUACCAUUACAAUAGAUAAAGACAUAUAACUAAAUUGGUCGAGGCAAAACAUUACACACACUUAAAAAUUAGAUAUAUGCUUGAACAUGGUGAAAAUUCCAAUAACCUUUGGAAUCUCUCAUUCAAACUUAAUAUUUGAGAGAUCAAUGAUGGUCCACAUGGUGAAAAUUUUCAUGAAUUCCCUAUCUUAUAUAUCCUUUAAUAACAAUUCCAAUUGUUGAGAUUUAUGAUAGCCCUAAAAUUGUUGAUGCAUCUCACUGGUAGUGGUCCAGUAAAAUAAUUACUUCGAAAGUUUGGUCCAAGACUGUUAGCGUCUAUUGACUUCAACUGCUCUUGCUUCCUCUUACUGUUAGUUUUCAACCUAAGAAUCUACAAGCAACCAUGCAGAAUUCCACACAAAUAAUAUGAAAAUUUUGCAGUAUUGACUAUAUACAUUUACUCGAGAAAAGCUGAGAUUAUAGGCUUGGAGAUCCUAAUUUUUACUAUUUAAAAUAUUUGUUACCUGAUCUAUUUAAAAACAAAAAUUCUUUUUCAUAUCACUGUGAAAUUUGUGAAUUGGCUAAACAACACCGGUCAUUCUUCCCACCUCAAAAAUAUAAAGCUUCCAAACCUUUUUCGUUAAUUCAUAGUGAUGUUUACGGACCUUCAAGAGUCUCAAUUUUUUUAGGAAAACGUUGGUUUGUCACAUUUAUUGAUGAUCAUACUCGCAUUUGUUGGGUGUUUCAAGAGUCUCAACUUUUUCAAGAAAACGUUGGUUUGUCACAUUUAUUGAUGAUCAUACUCGCAUUUGUUGGGCGUUUUUAUUAAAAGAUAAGUCUGAAGUUAAAAAUGUGUUUCAGUCUUUUUAUGCUAUGGUGAAAACACAAUUUUGUGUGAAAAUAGAAGUACUUCGAAGUGACAAUGGUGGGGAAUUUUUUAGUAACCAAUUAGGUGUCUUCUUAACCAAACAUGGUAUAGUCCACCAAAGCUCUUGUACAAAUACACCACAACAAAAUGGGUUUGCAGAAAGAAAAACCGACAUAUUUUGGAAGUAACUAGAGCCUUGAUGUUCACUAGUCAGAUACCACAUUAUCUUUGGGGUGAACCCGUGUUAACUGCUACAUAUCUUAUUAAUAGAAUGCCUAGUAAAACUCUAAACUAUAGAACUCCUUUCAGUCUCUUUACAGAUAACUUUCCUAACUCUAAAUUGACCACAGAUUUAUCCCUCCGAGUUUUUGGGUGUAGUGUUUUUGUCCAUCUUCACAAUCAAGGUAAACUAGAUCCUAGAGCAAAAAAUGCUUUUUUGUUGGCUAUGCUUCUAGUAAAAAGAGUUACAAAUGUUACAAUCCAAUUGAUUGGAAGAUUAUUGUUACCAUACCUUAUGUUCAUGAAUUCUCAUCAUCACAUGUUUAUAAAUGCAACUCAAACUUGAAUAAUUGAAUAUUUUGUAAUUCUACAUGUAUUUUUUUUAUGGUGAGCAGUAUAAUGUUCACUAAAAAUUGAAAUUCAAGAAAGAAGACAUACAUAGUUGCACCAUACAAGAUGUUACACUCGAACUAAACCCUUACAAAUAGUACAAAUUGCAAUGAAAUACAGAGGAAUUGGUACAAUCAUAAAGACAGACACAUACCAAUGCAACUUUUCACCAUAGGAAAAACUUUCUGACAGACUACUAAACAAGAAAUUAUGAAGACACAGCAGAAAGGCUUUAACUUCAUUUGCACCAACUAGAUCCUUCUUCAUCCAUUGAUGCGAUUGCUAUAUUUUGGUUUUCUUCUUCGCCUCUUCUCAUGUUGGUCUUCAACCAAAUUCACAAACCUUUUCGCCUUACCGGUUUGGAAAACAACACAUCCCAUGGCCAUUCCAAACACUACCCCGCAUCCAUAACCUAUCAACACCACUUUCCAAUCAAAAGCAAUGUAUCGAAAUGGGGUGGGCAAUGGUCGACUCAAAAGCGGCACACAGAGGGUAGAUUUUAGGGUUGGUUAGAUUUUUUUUUAGAAAUGGAGUGUCUGCUAAUAUUUAGGGUUUAUGUUGAGUUAUUUAUGGCGUAUGAAACGACGACGUUUGACGCCAUUUCAGUGGUUUCAAAACGGCGUCGUAUACGGCCGAGAUUCGUGCGGUGACUCGACCCGGGGAGGAUCCGUGUGUUUUCACAUUGGUGGGAUAUCUGUGCUCUAGGUCCUCAAUAUUUGCACUUUGUUUUAAUUCGGUUUCUUUUGAUUCUUCAAAUUGGGCUUCAUAAUUUCUUGCUGACUUCAUUUUAGUCCACUUGCAGCGCUGCGUUUUGGUGGGCAAGGAAUAUUUCCUAUUUUAGUCCCCCAUGUUAUUCAUGAUUUGUAAUUUGGGUCCUUUCCUUUUAUUUAUUUUAGAUUUUUCCCCUGAAUUACUGCUUUAAUGCCAAUUUAGUUCUUUGUUUGUUAUUAUUGCUAUAGAAUUAUUUAGUUUGUUAUUAUUGGUGUUACUAUUAUUAGUUUAUAUAUUUACUUAUUUUUAUGCAUGUACAUUAUUUUAUUAUGUAGUCUUAUUUUAAUUAUUUUUUUAUCUAAUGCAUUAGUAUAUAUUUUUAUGUUAAUUCAAUAUUAUCUAUACAUUUUUAAUGAGUUUAUUUUUAUAAUACAUUUUUCUUAAAAUGUUUAUUUAUAUAUACUUUUGUGCUUUAAAAAUCAAUAAUAUUUUUAUAUAAUACUAUUUUAUAUAUAUAUAUAAUUUGUAUUAAGUUUUUUUAUUAUACAUAUAUAUACCUAAUAUAUCAUCGAUUUCAUAUUUACGUAUUUUUUUACUUAUUUCAUCAUUUAAAACUUUACUUUAUUAUAAACUUGAUUUAUAUCAACCUUUUAUACAUACAAUUAUACAUAUAUUAUUAUAAGAAAUUUUACAAUCCAUAUGUAAUAUUUAUUUAAAUUAAUAUGUAUAUAUUAUUUCAUGUAUUUCGGUUUUCUUCAUAUACAAUACUCACUUUAAAAUUUAUUUUAAUAUUAUUUUUUUCAUAGUAUUUAUAUUUUAUCUUCAUUUUUGACUUAUUUCAAACUCAUAUAUGUAUAUUGUUUAUUUUAAAAUUUUACACAUAGAACUCAUUUUUUGUAUUGAUAAUUUUAAAUUUCCUUGUGUAUGUUUUUUUAUUUAUUCUAAAACUUGUUACAUUUUAUUUGUGUUAAUCUGCUUGUUUCUUAGUUUUUUUAUUAGCUUUUAAAUAUUAAUGUUGAUAUUUACGUGUGAUGUAAGAUUAUUGCCCUAAUGUGUAUUGUAUUGCUUAUUUGUAUUCAUUAGUAUACAUUUUGGCUUAUGAAUUAUCAUUUCACGUUACAUUAUCAUUCCAUCAUUUUUUUUAAAAAGGGGAUUACGUUUAAUUUAAGCACUAAAAUCGAUUUAUCCAUAAGAUAACGCAAUACUCGGCAUUUGAGAUCUUCGAGCAGAUUGAGUCCUAACGUAUUGGGUUCCAAUUUUCCUUGUUGAAUCUAAAUAAUCAAGAAUAUUCUUUAAUCAAAACACAUAAAUAAAAAGCUCAUUCUCGGGAAUUUGAUACGUUGUGUCCUAACGCAUUGGAUAUGGCAUAUUGUUUUCUCGAGAUGAGGAUUUUUUUCUAAAAAAUAAUAAAGGCAAUAUUCAAUGUUUGGAAUUUUGAGAAAUUGUGCCCUAACGUAUUUGGUUUCGAUAUUUCAUCUGACUUAAACAAUUGAAUAUCCUUUUUAAACUUCACUGCAUGAGUUUUAAAAAAAAAUCAAAAGACAAGCUCAUUUUUGAGGAUGCGAAACAUCACAUCCUAACUCAUUGGAUGUGACAUUCUAUCUCCCAAAAUGAAGGGGGUCUUAGCACGCAUUUUGAUUACAUUUGAGCUCCCUAAACAACUAAGAAAAUUAAGAUUGAUGAGAUUACAAAGUAGAUUGACUUAGCCUUCUUCCUUAUAAUACGUAAAGAACGUGAGUGUCUAUUCACUUAGUAUGUAUGGCCGUCAAGCAAUGUAGAAAUUCGCACACAAAAGAACGAAAUUGUGCACUACUUAAAAAUUCAAAGCAUGUGUGACCUAUAUUCAUUUAUUUUAUUGCAUAAAAUUCAAGGCAUGUAUGUUGAAUAAUUUUAUCCAAGAAGCAUAUUUUCCACAAAACUUUAAUUUGUUGCCAUUAAAUAUGUCAUUUUCUAUUAACGGCAAAAAAACUAUCCGGUAAACCGCAUCUUUUUCUUUAGAUGAAAUUUUGUAAAAAAAAUUUGACAUUAUCACUAAUAUGGUCCUUCAAUUUUAUUUUUUUUAAAAUCAUUUUAACUCUCGAUUUAAUAUUUCGCCUCUUUGAGCUUUUAAAUUUGCGUUAUUUAUCAAAUUAUCUCAAAAUGGAUGAAAAAGUUAACAUUUGUUAAUUUUAUUGACGAGACAUACAUAUCGAUAUCAUAUAAACAGUUAAUUGAUUUUUUUAAAAAUUUUUAAAAAUAAAGCAUAUAUUAAAAUUUUCUAAGAAAUAAUGACCAAACUUGGAACAAUCGCAGAAGAAUGUCCAAUAAUUCCAAACAAAUUAACGCAACAUUUUAGUUAUUGUCUACUGUCCAAUAACGCCAUGUGUAUUAGUACAAACAUUCAUUAAACCUAAUUUAAUUUUAGCCCUUAAUUUAAUUUUUCAUCUUUUUUUAGCCCUUAAUCCACAUUGUUUAUCAAAUAACCCUUAAACUUACAUUGUUAUCAGAUGAAAAAAUUAAUAUAUAUCUAUUAACUUUGCUAGCGUGCAUAUAUAUGCAACUUCAUUUAAAUCUAAAAAAUAUAAAAAUUUAUUAAAUAUGUAUAAAUCUAAAAAUUUCUUAAAAUUAAAACUAAAUUUUUUUAAACUAAUGCAAAUUUUUAGUAUUUAAAAAAUCUUAAAAUUUUUAAAUUAAAUUCCUUUUCUUUUCCAGCGUUGAAGAACACCUUCAAUCACAUCAACAACUUCAUGCUGUUUUGCCUAGAAAUUGUUUUGCAAAUUUAUUUUGUUUUAUUUAUUUCUAAACCCAUAUUUCUUUUCUAUAACUCUAAUUAUUAGAUUGUUUAGGGUUUUGAGUAACUUUCGAUUUUGGAAUUUUAGAUUUUUUAAAUUUAAAUACGAAGUGCUUUUCUUCUUCUCCAAACCCAUAAUUUUUUCUGCCAAAUUUCAACUCAAGGUUUCACUUUUAGCUAUAAAUAAAACAUAUAUUAUAUUUAUAAUGACCUAAGAAUAGUAAAGUUGACGCCGAUCUACAUGAAAAAGGAGGAAAAAAAAAACAGGCAAAGAAAGAUAAUAUGAAGAGAGCAUAAAUCAAUAAAGCAAAUGAAAAACAAGUAGAAUUAAAGUGAAUGAGUAUUUAAUAAUUUUUUUGUGAAAAACGAGUAGAAUUAAAGUGAAUGGGUAUUUAAUUUUUUUUUUUGUGAAAGUUCAAAGACUGAAUAUUUAUGAGCUUGGAUGUGGAAAAAUUAGUUGGAAUUUUUUUUUUCUUGCACCAAUUGAUUUUUUAUAUAAAAUUUGUAUUUAUUUUUUAAGAUUUUUAAAUUUUGUUACAAUUAUUUUUAUGAAAAUUUGAAAAUAUAAAAAUACUUUUUGAACUAUAAUUCAAGGAUUAAAUUAGCUAUUAAUCAUUUGAAUAAAUAAAACAUAUACAUGAAUUAAGUAAUUAAUCCACAAGCAAUGUUGGACAUUUUCAUAAUGCCAAAUUUCACUUCAGAUUUAGUUACCCAUAAUCAUAUUUAAACAAACAAAAACACAACAAUCACACAAAAUAGGCAUAACUAGAAAACAUGAGAAAAAUGAGAAAAGCUUGAAAACAAUUACAAUGGUAGCAAAGGAAAUGUAAAAAAAAAAAAAAAACACUUAAAAAUCAGAUUUUUAAUGAUGAAGGGAAUUGAUUUAUACUAAAACCAAGAAUUAAACUAAAAAUACAAAGAGUUACAGGUACUAAACAAGCAAAUAAAUCCUAGCUACAAUGAUAAUUAACUUAAUUAACUACUAUUGGAACCAAGAAAAACUAAAAGAAAACAUGAAUUACACCCUAGAGUUAUGGAGAAGAAAACAAAAACUCUAAAAAUAAAGAGGAAAUUUGAAAACCAUGAAAUGUUAAGUGUGCCUUUUGUUCAGCCAAUUUUUUGCCCUUUCUAGAAUUACAGAUCCAAAAAUAGUGACCAAAUUGUCCUUGAUCGUCGAAUUUUGGUUAGGGGACAUGUUGGAAAAGGAUUAGCCCUACGGUUAUAUUUUGUCUUCUCUCAUCAAUGAUAUUGCGAUACCCAAAUUUGGUAUCGCGAUAUCCACAACAGUCUUGGGGAUCCUUGGGAGUUUUGGGUAUCGCGAUACCUUACGACCGGUAUCAAGAUAACACUAUUGAUGGCUCAAUCUUCCUUGUUUUUAACAUUGUUAUGGGUAUUACGACUUUCAUGCUUUGAUAUGCGAUACCCUCUUUCUAGGUGACAUUUUUGCUCCUUUCGGGCCAUGAUGGGCUCUCUGCAUCACUCACCAACCUCAUUAGAUUCCCCAGGUGCCAUUUGGCCAUCUCAGGUCUCAAAAUAGCAUCAAAAUGCACACUAACCAUUUAUUAAUAUAAAGAACUAAAACUAAAUAAAAACACAACAAAGAUAUCUAAAUUGCUCGAAACUAAGCUUUUAAGUGUGAUGGAGAGCCUAAUUUGACAUAUCAAUUUACAGCAGAUCAUAAACAUAAUUUGCGGAACCUUGUUAAAAUUUCGGAUUUCUUUAUUAGUUUUUCUUUCAAUAUUUUAAACGGUACAUUUGUAGUAAUAUAUUGUGCAGAUCAUAGACUAAAAUGCUUUAUUAGUUUUCUAUUGUUAAUCUCUUUUUUUUCUUAUUAUUAACACCACUUCCUUUUUACCAUAUAAUUUUUAUUCAUAAGAAAGAAGUGAAAUAAUUAGAAUGAAUGAGAUUACAAAGUAUAUUGACUUGGACUUGCUUCCUUUAUAUGUAUGAAUGUGGAAAUUGGCAUAAUGCCAACUUAUUUUCCACGCAGAAGAAGAAAAUGGUGCUCUAUUCACUCAGUUUCUAACAACACCAUAAUAACAACACCAAUUUGAACUCCCUAAAGAAAGAAGAAGUGAUGAGAUUAGAAAGUAUAUUGACUUGGUCUUGCUUCCUUUAUAUGUAUGAAUGUGGAAUUUGGCAUAAUGCCAACUUAUUUUCAACGCAGAAGAAGAAAAUGGUGCUCUAUUCCCUCCCUUUAACUUAGCAACUAAGGUCUAGCAAACAAGGCCACAUAUGACUUAGAUAUAUAUAUAUAUAUAUAUAUAUAUGGUCCCUAAGUGUGUAUAUAUUAAUAUAUUUUAAAGUAGACAAACUUAUGCCUUAAAAGUUGAAUAAUAGUAUCUAAGAAACAAAUUUUCCACCAGACUGAAAAUUUUGUAUUGCUUGGAAUUAAUUGACUGUCAUUUUCUAUUACUUGCUAGAAAUAUAUUGUAUUGCUUUAAAUUCAAACAAGAAAUAGGGGAAAUUUCACAUCAAUGCAUUCACUUCACUUGGUCAACUUGAUCGACUAGCAGGAAGGAAAUUUCAGUCAUUUGCAGCAUCAGAAUUCCACACCCUCAAAAUAAUUUGCAAUUUCAAAAAUAGAUGAAUUAGUGUGGUUCAAAUACCAAGACUACAAUAUCUAUUCACUUCACUUCGUCUUUAUUACUCACACAGAAUUUAUCAUCAUCAUCAUCAUCAUUAUAUUACUCUUUUAUUGUUAUUUUUUAUUUUUUUCUUGUUACUUUUAUUUGUUAUUAUUAUUAUUUUUAUACUUUCAUGUUUUCUUUUUCAUAUAUUCCACCUUUUAUUUGUUUAUUUAAUUCUUUUACUUAAUUAAUAUUAGAUUUUAUUAGUUGAUGUUAUUACUUAUUUAUUGUUUUUGAUAUAUCAUCGCUUCGUUAAUAUGCACCAUCAUUUUAUUAUUGUUACAAUUACGUCACGAGCCGUUUUAAAUGUAUUCAUGCUUUUCUAAUAUGCCCCGAAUAAAUUAAAUACCUACCGUUUUAAAUAUUACAUUAACUUUUAUGCGAUACCUAAAAAACGAAUUUUUUUUUUACCAAGACAAAUGUUUGUUAUUUCAAAUUUAGAAAAAUCAUGUUCUAACUUACGGAAUAUGGUUUCCUUCUAAAAUUGAGAUAAUUGAAUAUAUUUUAAAAUAAAUAUUAUUUUUUUUGCAUUUGUUCUCGUUUUCGGGAUUUAAGGCAUGGUGUCCUAACUUACGGAACGUUAUCCUUUUUCCCAAUUAAUUUGAAAUAAAUCCAUUUUUGUGAAAACAAAAUUAAGUAAUAUUGUAACGAAGGAUCGUAUUUUAAAAUCUCUUCAAAUUCUCAAUUUUUGACACUAAGACAUUAAUUAAUUAAUCAAUUAGGUACUAAUUUUGGGCGGUACGAGGGUGCUAAUCCUUCCUCGUACGUAACCGACUCUCGACCCAUUUCCUGGAUUUUUGUAGACCAAAAAUUGUUGCUUCAGUAAAUCAAAUCUUUUAUUAAAACGAUUAAAUUGGAAAGUGAUCCGAUCACACCUAAUAAAAAGGAUUGGUGGCGACUCCCAUUUUCGUUUUCAAAAUAAAAGUCGACCCUUUUCAAAAAUAGUUUCGACAAUGUGUAACAAGUAUUUUUAUUAAUCCAUUUGGAACAAGAUUUUGUUGUCUAAUGUUAAGGUUUGCUGGAGCAAAUAAAUUGAUUAAUGCUUUGAACUUUCCCAAACACUUUUUAUAGUUUUGUUAUAUGCAUUUUGUAUAAUUAGUAUAUUUGAAUAUAUUAGAUACAUUGUCUAAAACAAUGUCAAUUGUAAUUUUUUAUAUUUUAUUGAUCAUAAGCUUAUUAUAUAAAUAAUAUUUUUUUAAAAAGAUGGAGUGAUACAUUUACGUAGUGCUUAUGAAUAUAAUGUUGGAUUAAAAUCCUUAAUUCUGAGUACAUAUGUAUAAUGCUUGAAAUUACAAUUAUCUUAAUAAUUUUGUUUCUGUUUUUGUUGAUUGAUGAUUAUAAAAAUCAUUAUUCUUCUGAAGGCAUGCUUUGUUGUCAAUGACAGUACCUGCACCCUAGAAAAAUCACCAGCUUUAACAACUGUAAGAGUUGUCCUGCCUGACAUUUACUAAAAAAUCACCAGGAAGCACAUUGUCAGGAGAUCCUUGCUGGAAAAAACUUGGUAGGAUGGUUUCUUUUUCUGCAAACUUAGGAUUUCAAUUGAUGUUGAUGCAACAUUUUAGAUCAAGGAACUUGCAAGCCUAUUAUGGUAGAAAUGUUUUAUCCAAAUGAUAAAGAUGUUGAUGCAACAUUUUAGAUUGCAAAUUCCUUGAUCACAUUUGGAAUCCUAAUCACAGGGACUUGCAAGCCUAUUAGCUCCAGGAACUUUAGAUUGUACCUGUUCAAAACAUUUUUUCAAAGAAGGAACCAUAGGUGAAAGGCGUCUAUUCUGGUUCAUCUCAUUGAAUACAUCAAAUGAAGGAUCAAUACGCUGAAAAAGGGACAAUGGAAAGAACUUUAGCCAACAACUUGAAUUUUAUAACUACUCCUAUGCCAACCAGCAAACCAUAACAGCGUGUACAUAAAAAAGAGGAUGCUGACUUACAAUUCCUUUCAUUUCACCACAACCAAUCAAAUCCCUUGCAAUGCUGUUUGGAUCACAGCAGCUCAUCUUUCAAUCCUAGAUGGCUCCGCCAAUUUUUUGAAAGCAUACAUAAACUGUUAAAGAAAUAAAUGGAUAAAACACCUACAGGAUAGAAGGCUGAAAAAUUACAAAGGGCAAUGACCUUAUUGUUAAAAUUCCAACGUCCAUUCCUUGGAAAGAUAUCUUACACCAUUGCCCACUCAAGAGAACUCAAAUAGCAGCAAGAUCUAGUAUAAAAUGUAACUCUCAACAACAUACACAAAUGUUUGUUCUAUCAAGGAACAACAUACACAGACAUAUUCACCUACCCUUGGUGCUGGCAGAAUAUGCCCAUUCACUUGGGUGAAAUUAGAGUUGAUAUUAACCCCACAAGAUUUCAGCACCAUAAUUACUGCUAAGUAAAACCUGCACAUAAAUUUUCAGCGCUAUGUAUACAUUGUGUCACUUGCAUCCAAAUCAAAUAUUUCGGGCUACAGAGUUUCAUAGAUAUGACGAAGGUAUUAUCGGGGGAUUGUACCAUGUAUACCUGACACGAAGGACCUACGACUAUGGGAGAUCUCAAGCACUUCGUUUUCCAUGCGCACAUGCAAUUGCUGCAUGUGCCUCAACAUGUCUGGACUGCAUGAGCUAUGUUGACGAUGUGUACAAACCAAAAUGCAUAUAUAAAGUAUGAAAAUUUGAAUUCCCACCAGACCCAAAAAGCCUACUGGAUUUUGGUCGGAUACGCAACAAUAUGAAUAUUUGGGAGAAGAUUGACCAACCAAGGUUAUACAAUUAUUGUAGGAACGGCCUGGGCAUAGUAAGUCAAGAUGUCCACAAUUGGGGGCAACAUUGAGGAGAAGAACAAAUUAAAACAUUCGAUCGUUUUUUUUUGAAUAAGCAUACAAGAAAAAACAAAUAAAUUUUUUCAUUUUUUCAUUGCUUCUCAGCUUUUGGUAAAUUGUAAAUAAGUAUAUAUAAUUAAUGUAAAAUACAAUACAAUACAAAACAAUAUAAAUACUUUUUUUCCUUUUUUUUAGAUUGUAAAUAAGCUUAUUAUUGAAAAGGCAUACAAUAGAAUACAAUAGAAAUAAUUUUUUAAUUUUUUCGUAGAUUGUAAAUAAGUAUACAUUAUUGAUGUAAAAUAUAGUUGAAAAUACUUUUUUGAUAAAAUUGGAAUAAACACAUUAUGGAUGGAAAUUUUUAAUACAAUACAAAUUGAUCAUUAACAAACUAAAUGACGAUUUACAUAAGAAAAAUUUAAAAUAAAAAAAUCAUCAGCUUUGUUGGCCCGAAUGUGUGCCACAACCCGGUGAGUGUCAGUUAUGAGUAGGAUUUCAUCGUAGUUGGGGUUCUAGCUCUUCCUUAUCUUCACCUCCACCUCCAACUUGAUCUUCACCUUCAUCUUGUUCCUCUGUGCUUGUAUGCAUUAAAUUCUUGCAAUACAGGGGAGAGAAACCUAGUUUUCCCGUAAGCUUAUUAUCAAAAAAGUUGAGCAGUUUCAGGUUCCAGCAAAUGGAAAGGGGCUCAGCGAUCUUACUCAGCCAAUAGUGAGCUAAGAAAUCUUUAAUGACAAUAUGGGUGCGGGUUUUCGAGGAAUACAAAUAACCUCUGGGUUUUUUUUCCAAAUUUGACAAGCAUCUAGAAUAACUAGUGAAUUACAAUUCUAUUGUACCACAAUAGGUGCAUUGGUCUUUGCGGACUUGAUGUUUUUUGCCUGUUGGUUCUAUUAUCACAAAGCAAACCCAAAAUUGGCUUGGUUCCGAGAUGUAGAAUCUAUAUUGAAUCACCAUUUAGCAAGGCUACUGGGGCUUGGUUACCUUUCUUGGGCGGGGCAUCAAGUACAUGUCUCUUUACCAAUAAACCAAUUUCUAAAUGCUUUAGUAGACUCUAAAGAGAUCCCACUUCCCCAUGAAUUUAUAUUGAAUCAUGAUCUUUUGGCUCAACUUUAUCCCAGUUCUGUCGAGGGAACAACCCCAUUUUUACCUUGAAUUGGUCAAAAUAUGCGAAAUUUCUUACUAUUCGUGGAUGAUUAAAUCCAGUGAUUGGGGGUCCAUGGUUGACUGGCAUUGCACACCAUCAUUUAGCUAUUACAAUUCUUUUCCUAAUAGUAGGUCACAUGUAUAGGACCAAUUGAGAUAUUGGACAUAGCCUAAAAGAUAUUCUAGAGGCUGUUAACCACCAGGUCGGAGGUUCAAGCCCACUUUGUAGCGUUUCACUUUUGGUAAAAUUUCAUCCUUGGUCCCUUUAAAUUCCUUUUUGCUUUAAUUUGAUUGCUUUCUAGACCAAGAAGCAGACCAAGCUGUAAGAGCCAUGCAAGCUGCACCUGAAGCUUAUGUUGCUGUUUUGUUACUUUCAAAUAGAUAUUUUAUUACUUACUUAGAUAUGAACUAAGUUGUUGAUAUGCUUGAACUAAUUAGGUGCUGAUAGAUUGAUAAAUCAGCUUUACCAAGUGUACAAGCAAUGUUUAUCAAGUUACUAAGCCACUUAGUGGAGUUAGGUAUGUGUUUAGGUAACAUUUUCUUAUUUUUGACCAGCUGAUUGCUUAGUAUAUGUAAUGGCAUUGUGCCUUCAUUCAAAUGUAAUGAAAUCUUUCAGAAAAUUCUUCUUCAUUUGGUCUUUACUUAAAACAUUUUUAUUCACAAAGCUCUUGCUGUUUUUGUUUUGUUUGUUGAGCUAGAUAUCAAUGCUUUAUGCUUAAGUUUCUGUCAAAAUUUCUAAUUUUGUUUUCUUAGUUCCUACAGACAUUUUGUUCUCCUUUCUCCUUGACUGAGCAGUAGCAAAGAUUAUUGAGACUAAAUUGAAAUCCAUGAAAGAAGACAUAAACAACACCACCAUACAAAAUGUUACACUCAAACAAACCAUUACAGAUAGUACGAAAUGCAAUGAAAGACAGAGGAAUUGGUACAAUAAUAAAGACAGACAGAUCCCAAUGCAACCCUUCACCAUAGGCAAAACGGUCUACAAAACAAGAAAUUAUGAAAAUACAACACUAAUUCUUGAACAUCAUUUGCAGUAAUUAGAUCCUUCUUCGUCUACUGCUACGAUUGCCUUUCUUUGACUUUCUUCUUCGCCUCUUCUCUUGUUGGUUUUCAACCAAAUUCACCAACCAUUUCGGCUUACCAGUUUGGAAAACAACAUAUCCCACGGACAUUCCGAACACCACUCCGCAUCCAUAACCUAUCAACACCACUUUCCAACCAAAAGCAAUGUUUGAUUUUGAGCCAUCUUUUUCAAGCACAUUUGGAGGUGCUGGCUCAAUGAUGUUGCAACCUUUCGAGACCGGAAAUCCACAUAGUCCCUUAUUCCCUUCAUAUGAAUCAUUUCCAAAUGUGUUGAAUAGUUUGCCUUGAGGAAUCUGACCAUGGAGUUGAUUUUCAGAAACAUUUAAGGACGAAAGAAAUGGCAGAUCUGCCAAUCUAUUUGGAAUCAUCCCAGACAACCUGUUUGAAGAUAGGUCCAACCAUUCAAGACUUGUCAAAUUCCCUAUUGAGGUGGGGAUAUCACCAUUAAGGUUAUUAUGAGAAAGGUUGAGCCCUUUCAGUAAGUUAAGCUUCCCAAUAACCUUUGGAAUACCCCCUUCAAACUGAUUGUUUGAUAGAUCAAUGAUCAUCCACAUGGUGAAAAUUUUCACCAAUUCCA
rnacentral:lncRNA from 1 species